rnacentral:rRNA from 1 species
CCUACGGGUGGCAGCAGUAGGGAAUCUUCCACAAUGGGCGAAAGCCUGAUGGAGCAACGCCGCGUGGGUGAAGAAGGUCUUCGGAUCGUAAAACACUGUUGUUAGAGAAGAAAGUGCGUGAGAGUAACUGUUCACGUUUCGACGGUAUCUAACCAGAAAGCAACGGCUAACUACGUGCCAGCAGCCGCGGUAAUACGUAGGUGGCAAGCGUUAUCCGGAUUUAUUGGGCGUAAAGGGAACGCAGGCGGUCUUUUAAGUCAGAUGUGAAAGCCUUCGGCUUAACCGGGGUAGUGCAUUGGAUACUGGGAGACUUGAGUGCAGAAGAGGAGAGUAGAACUACAUGUGUAGCGGUAAAAUGCGUAGAGAUAUGUAAGAACACCAGUGGCGAAGGCGGCUUGCUGGGUCGAUACUGACAUUGAGGCACGAAAGCGUGGGGAGCAAACAGGAUUAGAUACCCGAGUAGUC